rnacentral:rRNA from 1 species
UACGUAGGUGGCCAGCGUUGUCCGGAUUUAUUGGGCGUAAAGCGCGUGUAGGCGGUCCGGCAAGUCCGCUGUGAAAGUCGGGGGCUCAACCCUCGAAUGCCGGUGGAUACUGUCGGGCUAGAGUGCGGGAGAGGCGAGUGGAAUUCCUGGUGUAGCGGUGAAAUGCGCAGAUAUCAGGAGGAACACCAAUUGCGAAGGCAGCUCGCUGGAACGUAACUGACGCUGAGACGCGAAAGCGUGGGGAGCAAACAGG